rnacentral:rRNA from 1 species
AUUGAACGCUGGCGGCAUGCCUUACACAUGCAGGUCGAACGGUAACAGGUCUUCGGAUGCUGACGAGUGGCGAACGGGUGAGUAAUACAUCGGAACGUGCCUAGUAGUGGGGGAUAACUACUCGAAAGAGUGGCUAAUACCGCAUGAGAUCUACGGAUGAAAGCAGGGGAUCGCAAGACCUUGUGCUACUAGAGCGGCCGAUGGCAGAUUAGGUAGUUGGUGGGUUAAAAGCUUACCAAGCCGACGAUCUGUAGCUGGUCUGAGAGGACGAUCAGCCACACUGGGACUGAGACACGGCCCAGACUCCUACGGGAGGCAGCAGUGGGGAAUUUUGGACAAUGGGCGCAAGCCUGAUCCAGCAAUGCCGCGUGCAGGAUGAAGGCCUUCGGGUUGUAAACUGCUUUUGUACGGAACGAAAAGCCCUGGGUUAAUACCCUGGGGUCAUGACGGUACCGUAAGAAUAAGCACCGGCUAACUACGUGCCAGCCGCCGCCGUAAUAC